GUGAGGAAUCUUCCACAAUGGGCGAAAGCCUGAUGGAGCAACGCCGCGUGAAGGAUGAAGGUCUUCGGAUUGUAAACUUCUUUUAUGAGUGAAGAAUAUGACGGUAACUCAUGAAUAAGCACCGGCUAACUACGUGCCAGCAGCCGCGGUCAUACGUAGGGUGCAAGCAUUAUCCGGAGUGACUGGGCGUAAAGAGUUGCGUAGGCGGUUAUGUAAGCGAAUAGUGAAACCUGGUGGCUCAACCACACAGACUAUUAUUCGAACUGCAUAACUCGAGAAUGGUAGAGGUAACUGGAAUUUCUUGUGUAGGAGUGAAAUCCGUAGAUAUAAGAAGGAACACCAAUGGCAUAGGCAGGUUACUGGGCCAUUUCUGACGCUAAGGCACGAAAGCGUGGGGAGCGAACCGGAUUAGAUACCCGAGUAGUCC
rnacentral:rRNA from 1 species